AAGAGUAAUUAAAUCGACGACACCUCAAGUGUUUUGAACGAACAAGUACUCACGUAAGGUGGUGUGCAGAAGAUGGACUGACACCACAUUGGUUCCGAAUGGUAACAGACGCAGAGACUGCAAACCGCAGGUCCUGGUACAUAAAGGAGACCGUGUCGAACGAUCGCUCCUUGGAAAUCCGUGCAAUUCUCCUCCAACGCGGCUGAAAAAUGAUUUUCACUUGAAUGUCUUCGAUACUUGGUUGCAUGCUCGGUUGCAUGUGUUGUUAAUUAUCGUGCGCACUAAUUUUUGUUCGAUAGAUCCGCAUUGCAGUUUUCAUGAACUGUUCAACUCUCGACUUACCGGCCCUCGACGGAAGGAGAAGAAGAAGAAUGGCGGGCAGAUAGAAUACCCACACGAGUAUUUUCGAGUAGAGGCUCGAACUACUCUUCAUGGUCCUCGAUUGAGUUGGCCACAGAAGAUCAAA